UGGAGGAAAGUAGGGGAUCGAAAGACCUUAUGCUUUUGGAGCGGCCGAUGUCUGAUUAGCUAGUUGGUAAGGUAAUGGCUUACCAAGGCAACGAUCAGUAGUUGGUCUGAGAGGACGACCAGCCACACUGGGACUGAGACACGGCCCAGACUCCUACGGGAGGCAGCAGUGGGGAAUUUUGGACAAUGGGCGCAAGCCUGAUCCAGCAAUGCCGCGUGAGUGAAGAAGGCCUUCGGGUUGUAAAGCUCUUUCAGUUGAGAAGAAAAGAUUGUGACUAAUAAUUGCAAUUCAUGACGGUAUCAACAGAAGAAGCACCGGCUAACUACGUGCCAGCAGCCGCGGUAAUACGUAGGGUGCGAGCGUUAAUCGGAAUUACUGGGCGUAAAGGGUGCGCAGGCGGUUCUGUAAGUCAGAUGUGAAAUCCCCGGGCUUAACCUGGGAACUGCGUUGAAACUACAAGGCUAG
rnacentral:rRNA from 1 species